rfam:Gossypium raimondii Chr12_contig_816, whole genome shotgun sequence.
UAUUAAAAAUUUAAUCCAUUUUUACGAUUAAAAUUGGUGUGGUUGACAUAAUCAAAUAGUUAUGCAUAGCGCGUUGUACCUUACGUUAACAUAUAGGGACCAAUUUUUAACUGUAGGAAUUUAUGGACUUUUUAACA